rfam:Gossypium raimondii Chr11_contig_239, whole genome shotgun sequence.
UGUUAAAAGUUUCAUGACUUUCUAUUAUUAAAAACUGGCAUAGUUGACGAAAUAACUAAACAGUUAUACAUGGCUUAUUAAGUGUGCCUCAUAGACCGGCUUUUAAUAAUAAAAUUAGAUAAAAUUUUUAACA